AUUGAACGCUGGCGGCAGGCUUAACACAUGCAAGUCGAGCGGGGUGAUGGUGCUUGCACUAUCACUUAGCGGCGGACGGGUGAGUAAUGCUUAGGAAUCUGCCUAUUAGUGGGGGACAACAUCUCGAAAGGGAUGCUAAUACCGCAUCCGUCCUCCGGGAGAAAGAAGGGGAUCACUUGUGACCUUGCGUUAAUAGAUGAGCCUAAGUCGGAUUAGCUAGUUGGUGGGGUAAAGGCCUACCAAGGCGACGGUCUGUAGCGGGUCUGAGAGGGUGAUCCGCCAAACUGGGACUGGGACACGGCCCAGACUCCUACGGGAGGCAGCAGGGGGGAAUAUUGGACAAUGGGGGGAACCCUGAUCCAGCCAUGCCGCGUGUGUGAAGAAGGCCUUAUGGUUGUAAAGCACUUUAAGCGAGGAGGAGGCUCUUUUGGUUAAUACCCAAGAUGAGUGGACGUUACUCGCAGAAUAAGCACCGGCUAACUCUGUGCCAGCCGCCGCAGUAA
rnacentral:rRNA from 1 species